UGCCAGCAGCCGCGGUAAUUCCAGCUCCAAUAGCGUAUAUUAAAGUUGUUGUGGUUAAAAAGCUCGUAGUUGGAUCUCAACAGCCUUGAAGCGGUUAACUUUGUAGUUUUACUGCUUUAUAGGCUGUGCUUUUGCUGGAGGUUUAGGGGUGCUCUUGAUCGAGUGUCUCUGGAUGCCAGCAGGUUUACUUUGAAAAAAUUAGAGUGCUCAAAGCAGGCUAAAAUGCCUGAAUAUUCGUGCAUGGAAUAAUAGAAUAGGAUGUCGAUCCUAUUUUGUUGGUUUUCGGGACUCGACAUAAUGAUAAAUAGGGACAGUCGGGGGCAUUUGUAUUCAAACGACAGAGGUGAAAUUCUUGGACCGUUUGAAGACAAACUACUGCGAAAGCAUUUGCCAAGAAUGUUUUCAUUAAUCAAGAACGAAAAGUUAGAGGUUCGAAGGCGAUUAGAUACCGCCCUAGUUCUAACCAUAAACGAUGCCAGCUAGCGAUCUGCCUGCGUUUUUACUGUAGACUGGGCAGGAAGCUUCCGGGAAACCAAAGCAUUUGGGUUCCAGGGGAAGUAUGGUUGCAAAGCUGAAACUUAAAGGAAUUGACGGAAGGGCACCACCAGGAGUGGAGCCUGUGGCUUAAUUUGACUCAACACGGGAAAUCUCACCAGGCCCGGACACUGGAAGGAUUGACAGAUUGAUAGCUCUUUCUUGAUUCGGUGGGUGGUGGUGCAUGGCCGUUCUUAGUUGGUGGAGUGAUUUGUCUGGUUAAUUCCGAUAACGAACGAGACUCUGUCCUGCUAAAUAGUGUCUGCUUCUCUUUUGAGCAGACAAUUCUUCUUAGAGGGACUGGCGACUCUUAGUCGCACGAGAUUGAGCAAUAACAGG
rnacentral:rRNA from 1 species